rnacentral:piRNA from 1 species
UGACAUGACCCUGAGAAUUUCAUUCUAGU